UUUCGGACUUUCUGAUCUUCGUCUUUUUAUUUCGAAGGAGUGUUUGCUUUCAGCUCUUCCCCAGUUCAAUGUUAGCCUUGUUAUAACAGAGGUUUUCACCGAGUGGAGAUCUAUGCAUCGCUAAAUUAAAACAGAGAUUAGUUGCACUGAACAAAGU